AUGGCUUAAAGCAAAGUUGCUAGGCCGGAGGAAAAGUCAAACGCAGUGUACCUAGAGUUGUCUGACUGACUUUUGACGAGUGUGCAGGGUCAUCCGUGAAUCAGCUAUCAAAUCACCAUCUCCCCAUCAUCUCAAACUACUUGCCUCCUUUCCACCAGGAAUAAAUGGAUCGUAUUUCCCGACGAGUUUGGCGAGUUUGGUUUUGACUUCUGAUGGAAAUGGAAAUGGAGAUGUAGAUGGUGAUGAUGGAACCGAUAAGCGUUUAGCAUUAAAUUUUUGUUAGCCUUCCGCGCGGAGUUGACUCGCUCGAUUUCAGAAAACGCUCGACUGCAUCUUGAAUUACAAAUAAUCGCAAUUGUCUGCCCAUA